UACGUAGGGUGCGAGCGUUAAUCGGAAUUACUGGGCGUAAAGCGUGCGCAGGCGGUUUUGUAAGACCGAUGUGAAAUCCCCGGGCUCAACCUGGGAACUGCAUUGGUGACUGCAAGGCUUGAGUGUGUCAGAGGGAGGUGGAAUUCCGCGUGUAGCAGUGAAAUGCGUAGAUAUGCGGAGGAACACCGAUGGCGAAGGCAAUCCCCUGGGCCUGCACUGACGCUCAUGCACGAAAGCGUGGGGAGCAAACAGG
rnacentral:rRNA from 1 species